UGAGAACGAUGAGCCCAUUGAAAUACCAU
rnacentral:piRNA from 1 species